AGCCACUGAGAGGAGAGUAUCCUUUGGACCUAGGCUGCUUCCAGAGAGGGAAUGCUGCAUGGCUAGAGAGCCCCUUCACCAGUUGGGACUGCCUCAAGGAUCUGACAGGAGGAAUUGAGUAUGCUGCCAAGAUAUUAAAUGAAAUUCCCCAGAAAGACAUUCAGUGCACUAAAAGAGCCUCAAAGGCAGAAAGGGAAGGAAAUGGGCAAGGUUUCUCGGAGAGGUUAUGGAGUUUCAUCCAUGGAGAUACUCCAAUCCCAAGAGGACACAGUCCUGGGCAGCCUGCUGGAGGAGGUGACCGUCAUCUCUGGAGGUGCAGUGACUCUGGGAUUCUGUGAAACAUCCAUGGAGUAAAACGACGAGUCAGGAGGUUGGCAAGGGAUGAACUGCCUCUGGGAGAAAGCUGUUUUCUGAAGUACUGGACCCAUAACGUGAUGGUUUGUUACACAGAUACAAAAUAAAAUGUUUGGGGCAGUUGUUUUCUGUUUGGUUUUCAGAUGGGUCUAUCCAACUGUAAAUGUAACAAUUCCUUUAGAGCUUGCAGUGGAAAAAAAAAAAAGACAAUGUUAUGUGCAGGAAGAGAGAAGUCUUUGUUUUUACAAAAAAAAAAAAAAAGUAUUUCAUUAGGAAAAUUGCCAGCCAUAUCAAUUGACAUACCAUAGGAGGUAUUCUCUGCUUUACAGUCCAGUUGUUAGGGUGCAAAGACAAUUGUAUUUUUAGGAUGAUGGUUUCUAUCUCCACUAUAGACUCUUAGUCAGAACUUGGUGAAGUUAUACUGGUUUCCUGCCUAAAAUUUCCAUCUGUAGAAGAAUGCGGUGAUAACUCUGCUGUCUUGCCUACUGAGGCCUGAAAUUCUUGUGUCCAGAUAUCAAACUGAGAACAGUGGGGUGUCAAACACUGCUGGAUCCUUCCUAGAUCCUGAAAGGGGAGAAGUAAAUGGUGUAUAAUAUGCAUUAAAUGUCUGAGACCGAACUUGGGUUGCAGCUGUCUGAACAACUGGGAUUGUAGCUCGCUUGAAGCCAGCCCAACUGGUGAUGGAGCAGGUACAGCACCUCCUAAGUGUAACCAAGUGGCAAAUCAACUUGAGUAUUUCCAGUGAACUGUCAACACACGGUCUGCAAGCACAAGUUAUUCGUGAAUAAUUCUGUGUAACAAAUACGUUGAAGAAUUUCACGAAAUGUUCAAAGGGAGAUGAAAGGUGAAAUGCAGUGAAUAAAUUAUUCAUAACAAAUUACUCACUAAGCUCUAUUCAUCACUGAGAUGAGACAGAAUUAUUGACUGGACAUGGAAACAAAAUUUCAUUUCAGAGAGAUGAUAUUAAAAUACCGGUAUGCUAGUGUAAUUAUGCUGUGACCGUAAAGGCUUUACUAUUCUGCAGUAAAACAUGCCUUGGGUACCGCUGCAAGAUUGAU